rnacentral:rRNA from 1 species
UGGGGAAUUUUGGACAAUGGACGAAAGUCUGAUCCAGCGACGCCGCGUGGAGGAUGAAGGUUUUCGGAUCGUAAACUCCUUUUACAGGGGACGAAAGCAGGCAACUGUUUGACGGUACUCUGUGAAUAAGCCACGGCUAACUACGUGCCAGCAGCCGCGGUAAUACGUAGGUGGCGAGCGUUACUCGGAUUUACUAGGCGUAAAGCGCGUGUAGGUGGGAGCUUAAGUCCUUCGUUAAAUUCCAGGGCUCAACCCUGGACUGUCGACGGAUACUGGGCUUCUUGAGUGAGGUAGGGGAAACUGGAAUUCCAGGUGUAGCGGUGAAAUGCGUAGAUAUCUGGAAGAACGCCAAAGGCGAAGGCAGGUUUCUGGGCCUUUACUGACACUGAGACGCGAAAGCUAGGGGAGCAAACAGG